rnacentral:sRNA from 1 species
GCCAGGUGUGGUGGUGCACCCCUGUAAUCCCAGCAGCUCAGGAGGCUGAGGCAGGAGGAUCACAUAUUUAAGGCCAACCUCAGCAAUUUAGUGAGGCCUUAAGCAACUUAGCCAGACCCUGUCUCAA